rnacentral:snRNA from 1 species
GAGCUUCAGCAGCACAUAUACUAAAAUUGGAACAAUAUGGAGAAAAUUAGCAUGGUCCCUAUGGAAGAAUAACAUGCAAAUUCAUGAAAUGUUCCAAUUUUCA